GUCGGUGAAGCCGCACCCGGUGGCGAUCUCUGCAAGUGUCAAAGAACGCUCGCCGAGGUACUGCUUGGCACGUGC
rnacentral:sRNA from 1 species